rnacentral:rRNA from 1 species
UACGUAGGUGGCAAGCGUUGUCCGGAUUUACUGGGCGUAAAGGGCGCGUAGGCGGCCAGCACAAGUCAGUUGUGAAAUCUCCGGGCUUAACCCGGAAAGGUCAGCCGAUACUGCGGGGCUAGAGUGCAGAAGGGGCAACUGGAAUUCUCGGUGUAGCGGUGAAAUGCGUAGAUAUCGAGAGGAACACCUGCGGCGAAGGCGGGUUGCUGGGCUGACACGUGACGCUGAGGCGCGAAAGCUAGGGGAGCGAACGGG